UGGGAAUAUUGCACAAUGGGGGAAACCCUGAUGCAGCGACGCCGCGUGAGCGAGGAAGUAUUUCGGUAUGUAAAGCUCUGUCAGCAGGGAAGAAGAAUGACGGUACCUGAAGAAGAAGCACCGGCUAAAUACGUGCC
rnacentral:rRNA from 1 species